GAUCCUGGCUCAGGAUAAACGCUGGCGGCGCACAUAAGACAUGCAAGUCGAACGGACUUAAUCGAAAUAUUUAUAUUUUGAAGCGGUUAGUGGCGGACUGGUGAGUAACGCGUAAGGAACCUGCCUAUUAGAGGGGAAUAACAGUGAGAAAUCAUUGCUAAUACCGCAUAUGCCAUAGAUAUCACAUGAUAACAGUGGGAAAGGAGCAAUCCGCUAAUAGAUGGCCUUGCG
rnacentral:rRNA from 1 species